rnacentral:rRNA from 1 species
GACGAACGCUGGCGGCGUGCUUAACACAUGCAAGUCGAACGGAAAGGCCCCGCUUUUGUGGGGUGCUCGAGUGGCGAACGGGUGAGUAACACGUGAGUAACCUGCCCUUGACUUUGGGAUAACUUCAGGAAACUGGGGCUCAUACCGGAUAGGAGCUCCUGCUGCAUGGUGGGGGUUGGAAAGUUUCGGCGGUUAGGGAUGGACUCGCGGCUUAUCAGCUUGUUGGUGGGGUAGUGGCUUACCAAGGCUUUGACGGGUAGCCGGCCUGAGAGGGUGACCGGCCACAUUGGGACUGAGAUACGGCCCAGACUCCUACGGGAGGCAGCAGUGGGGAAUAUUGCACAAUGGGCGGAAGCCUGAUGCGGCAACGCCGCGUGCGGGAUGAGGGCCUUCGGGUUGUAAACCGCUUUCGCCUGUGACGAAGCGUGAGUGACGGUAAUGGGUAAAGAAGCACCGGCUAACUACGUG